rnacentral:rRNA from 1 species
GUUAAGCGACUAAGCGUACACGGUGGAUGCCCUGGCAGUCAGAGGCGAUGAAGGGCGUGCUAAUCUGCGAUAAGCGCCGGUAAGGUGAUAUGAACCGUUAUAACCGGCGAUACCCGAAUGGGGAAACCCAGUGUGACUCGUCACACUAUCAUUAACUGAAUCCAUAGGUUAAUGAGGCGAACCGGGGGAACUGAAACAUCUAAGUACCCCGAGGAAAAGAAAUCAACCGAGAUUCCCCCAGUAGCGGCGAGCGAACGGGGAGGAGCCCAGAGCCUGAAUCAGCAUGUGUGUUAGUGGAAGCGUCUGGAAAGGCGCGCGAUACAGGGUGACAGCCCCGUACACAAAAGCGCAUGUGCUGUGAGCUCGAUGAGUAGGGCGGGACACGUGGUAUCCUGUCUGAAUAUGGGGGGACCAUCCUCCAAGGCUAAAUACUCCUGACUGACCGAUAGUGAACCAGUACCGUGAGGGAAAGGCGAAAAGAACCCCGGCGAGGGGAGUGAAAAAGAACCUGAAACCGUGUACGUACAAGCAGUGGGAGCACAGGUUUACCUGUGUGACUGCGUACCUUUUGUAUAAUGGGUCAGCGACUUAUAUUCUGUAGCAAGGUUAACCGCAUAGGGGAGCCGGAGGGAAACCGAGUCUUAAUUGGGCGUUAAGUUGCAGGGUAUAGACCCGAAACCCGGUGAUCUAGCC